rnacentral:rRNA from 1 species
AUUGAACGCUGGCGGCAUGCCUUACACAUGCAAGUCGAACGGUAACAGGUCUUCGGAUGCUGACGAGUGGCGAACGGGUGAGUAAUACAUCGGAACGUGCCUAGUAGUGGGGGAUAACUACUCGAAAGAGUGGCUAAUACCGCAUGAGAUCUAAGGAUGAAAGCAGGGGAUCGCCAGACCUUGUGCUACUAGAGCGGCCGAUGGAAGAUUAGGUAGUUGGUGGGAUAAAAGCUUACCAAGCCGACGAUCUGUAGCUGGUCUGAGAGGACGAUCAGCCACACUGGGACUGAGACACGGCCCAGACUCCUACGGGAGGCAGCAGUGGGGAAUUUUGGACAAUGGGCGCAAGCCUGAUCCAGCAAUGCCGCGUGCAGGAUGAAGGCCUUCGGGUUGUAAACUGCUUUUGUACGGAACGAAAAGCCCUGGGUUAAUACCCUGGGGUCAUGACGGUACCGUAAGAAUAAGCACCGGCUAACUACAUGCCAGCCGCCGCAGUAA